rnacentral:rRNA from 1 species
AGUGAACGCUGGCGGCAGGCCUAACACAUGCAAGUCGAGCGGCAGCGCGGGGCAACCUGGCGGCGAGCGGCGGACGGGUGAGGAAUGCAUCGGAAUCUACCCUGUCGUGGGGAUAACGUAGGGAAACUUACGCUAAUACCGCAUACGACCGAGAGGUGAAAGUGGGGGACCUUCGGGCCUCACGCGAUUGGAUGAGCCGA